UGGGGAAUUUUGCGCAAUGGGGGAAACCCUGACGCAGCAACGCCGCGUGGAGGAUGAAAUCCCUUGGGAUGUAAACUCCUUUCGAUAGGGAAGAUUAUGACGGUACCUAUAGAAGAAGCCCCGGCUAACUUCGUGCCAGCAGCCGCGGUAAUACGAGGGGGGCAAGCGUUGUUCGGAAUUACUGGGCGUAAAGGGCGCGUAGGCUGUGCUGUAAGUCAGGCGUGAAAUCCCCGGGCUCAACCUGGGAAUUGCGCAUGAUACUGCGGCGCUGGAAUGCAGGAGAGGAUGGCGGAAUUCCCAGUGUAGAGGUGAAAUUCGUAGAUAUUGGGAAGAACACCGGUGGCGAAGGCGGCCAUCUGGCCUGCAAUUGACGCUGAGGCGCGAAAGCGUGGGGAGCAAACAGG
rnacentral:rRNA from 1 species